rnacentral:rRNA from 1 species
GGGGAUAACAUCGGGAAACUGAUGCUAAUACCGCAUACGCCCUACGGGGGAAAGAUUUAUCGGCGAGAGAUUAGCCCGCGUCCGAUUAGGUAGUUGGUGAGGUAACGGCUCACCAAGCCUGCGAUCGGUAGCUGGUCUGAAAGGAUGAUCAGCCACACUGGGACUGAGACACGGCCCCCAAACUCCUACGGGAGGCAGCAGUGGGGAAUAUUGGACAAUGGGCGCAAGCCUGAUCCAGCCAUGCCGCGUGAGUGAUGAAGGCCUUAGGGUUGUAAAGCUCUUUCGACGGGGACGAUGAUGACGGUACCCGUAGAAGAAGCCCCGGCUAACUUCGUGCCAGCAGCCGCGGUAAUACGAAGGGGGCUAGCGUUGUUCGGAAUUACUGGGCGUAAAGCGCACGCAGGCGGUUCGAUCAGUCAGAAGUGAAAGCCCCGGGCUUAACCUGGGAACUGCUUUUGAUACUGUCGAGCUUGAAUCACGGAGAGGGUAGUGGAAUUCCGAGUGUAGAGGUGAAAUUCAUAGAUAUUCGGAAGAACACCGCUGGCGAAAGCGACUACCUGG